rnacentral:rRNA from 1 species
GCCACCCCAGGAUGGGCGAAGCCCCCCCCCANGUUUAAGCAUAUCAAUAAGCGGAGGAGAAG